ACGUCAUCAAGUUAUCCCACCAAAGUAAAAUUAACACAGUAGAAAUCUUUUCAGAGUAGAAGAGUGGUUCUAGCAGCAGACAGGGUUGUUAAGGUAAACGUAGAGUAUGGGCCUAUUCAUAGGUUGUGGAAUGCUCACAAAGUUGAAGA